rnacentral:lncRNA from 1 species
AGCUUGGAGCCGCAGGGCUUAAUCCCGCGCGGCUCAGAGAUGGGUUUCUGGACUCGCGAAGCAGCUGCAACAAGGCAUCACUCACUGUAUAAGUAUUUCCAUUUCUGAGAGCAAAAGGAAGAACUUAAGCGGGCGGCACUUGGAGUGUAAAUUGCUUUGUAGUAUUUAAAGGCAGAAUGGAUCCUGGGCAGCCGAGCUGCAACAAACCGGCAGGACUUCCUGUGAAAUCAUGACCACCAUGUGCUCUUUCAGCCUCUAUCAGUUCCUACCUCUAAGCACCUGAGAGCCAAAGCAAACCACAGGAAACCACAGGUACUAACUCUUUUAGACCUGAUGAAGUGUCUCCCAAAUACAGUCUGGCAUGACUCAAACUAAACGUCAGCUUUUCCCGGCUCUCAAGCCUGCUGGUCCCUGAACUAAAACUCACAUUAUCAACUCUACUGGUUCUUAGGCCUUUGGAGUCAGACUGGAACUACAGCAUUGACUCUUCCGGAACUCCAGCUUACUGACUACAGAUCUUGGAACUUUUCAGCUUCCACAACCAUAAUGAAAGCCAAGCAUAUUCCAUCAUUUCCUAAAACCAAGAUAGAGCACAUAUGGGAACUUGUGAAAUAAGGAUGCCCUGCGGUUGUUUUCAGGACUGAAGACAACAGCUCCACGAUGAAACCAAAGCACAAAGAGAGAAAGAAAAGAAAGAGAAAAAAGGAAGAAAGAAAAGAAAGAUGAAAGAAAGAAAGAGAAAGAAGAGAGAGGGAGAGAGAGAAAGAAAGAGAAGGAAAGAAAGAAGGAAGAAGAAAGAAAGAAAGAAAGAAAGAAAGAAAGAAAGAAAGAAAGAAAGAAAGAAAGAAAGAAAGAAAGAAAGAAAAAAGGAAGGAAGGAAAAGAAACACAUGGAAAGUGCUUCUUUGGACCUUUUAAGUUGCAUUAUCCCAUAAAAUGUGGUGGAUUCAAUGUUGUAUGGCCUGUAAAACUAAGUAAUGAAGGCUGAUAUGUACCCACCUGGCUCUGUCUUGGGAUCACACAACUUGGGAGCCAAAACAGAUUGCAAAUGAUGUUCAAAUCAAGGACUGGCUUAAGGGAGAAAAUCAAUUAUACUGUACAA